rnacentral:rRNA from 1 species
AUUGAACGCUGGCGGCAGGCUUAACACAUGCAAGUCGAGCGAGCGGCGGACGGGUGAGUAAUGUCUGGGAAACUGCCUGAUGGAGGGGGAUAACUACUGGAAACGGUAGCUAAUACCGCAUACCAUCAGAUGUGCCCAGAUGGGAUUAGCUAGUAGGUGGGGUAAUGGCUCACCUAGGCGACGAUCCCUAGCUGGUCUGAGAGGGUGACCAGCGACACUGGAACUGAGACACGGUCCAGAUUCCUACGGGAGGGGGAAGUGGGGAAUAGUGCACAAUGGGCGCAAGCCUGAUGAAGCCAUGCCGGGGAUGUGAAGAAGGCCUUCGGGUUGUAAAGCACUUUCAGCGAGAAGGCGUUACUCGCAGAAGAAGCACCGGCUAACUCCGUGCCAGCAGACGCGGUAAUAC